GCCCCUCCUUUCUUACUCUUUGCCCCUCCUUUCUUACUCUUUGCCCCUCCUUUCUUAUUCUUUGCCCCUCCUUUCUUACUCUUUGCCCUUCUUUCUUACUCUUUGCCCCUACUUUCUUUCUCUUUGCCCCUCCUUUCUUACUCUUUGCACCUCCUUUCUUACUCUUUGCCCCUCCUUCCAUCAAACCCCUCCUUUCUUACUCUUUGGCUUAAUUCGCUGGCGGAGGUAAGCAUUGGCCGAGUACCCCCCUCAAGUUCAAAAUAUUCUUACCUUAUAAUUAAUAAAUCCAGCCACAAUUUUGAUCUCCAAUAUGUUCAUUUCAUUCUGUUUAAUUUCAGUCAGCAAAGAGUAAGCUUGCUUGUAAUGU